GGAGGUCUAGCUUAGUGGUAGAGUGCAUACUCAGUGUGUACAAGGUCCUGGGUUCAAGCCCCAGUGCCUCCC
rnacentral:tRNA from 1 species